rnacentral:rRNA from 1 species
ACUGACAGCCAUGGUUACCGCGGCUGCUGGCACGGAGUUAGCCGGUGCUUCUUCUGUGAGUGAUGUCCUUCCUGCCGGCUAUUAACCCGCAGGCCUUCUUCCUCACUGAAAGUGCUUUACAACCCGAAGGCCUUCUUCACACACGCGGCAUGGCUGGAUCAGGGUUGCCCCCAUUGUCCAAUAUUCCCCACUGCUGCCUCCCGUAGGAGUCUGGGCCGUGUCUCAGUCCCAGUGUGGCUGAUCAUCCUCUCAGACCAGCUACGGAUCGUCGCCUUGGUGAGCCGUUACCUCACCAACCAGCUAAUCCGACAUAGGCUCAUCCGAUAGCGCGAGGCCCGAAGGUCCCCCGNUUUCCCCCGUAGGGCGUAUGCGGUAUUAGCCUGGGUUUCCCCCAGGUUAUCCCCCGACUACCGGGCAGAUUCCUAUGCAUUACUCACCCGUCCGCCGCUCGCCACCAGGGAGCAAGCUCCCCGUGCUGCCGCUCGACUUGCAUGUGUUAGGCCUGCCGCCAGCGUUCAAU